rnacentral:rRNA from 1 species
UCGGGAAUAUUGCGCAAUGGAGGAAACUCUGACGCAGUGACGCCGCGUAUAGGAAGAAGGUUUUCGGAUUGUAAACUAUUGUCGUUAGGGAAGAUAAAAGACAGUACCUAAGGAGGAAGCUCCGGCUAACUACGUGCCAGCAGCCGCGGUAAUACGUAGGGAGCAAGCGUUAUCCGGAUUUAUUGGGUGUAAAGGGUGCGUAGACGGGAAAGCAAGUUAGUUGUGAAAGCCCUCGGCUUAACUGAGGAACUGCAACUAAAACUGUUUUUCUUGAGUGUUGGAGAGGAAAGUGGAAUUCCUAGUGUAGCGGUGAAAUGCGUAGAUAUUAGGAGGAACACCGGUGGCGAAGGCGACUUUCUGGACAAUAACUGACGUUGAGGCG